rnacentral:snRNA from 12 species
CCCUUUGCGCAGAGGCUAUAUCGUAACCGUUGAAGUUCUACUAAGGUGGGAUUAUUGCUAGUUGAAAACUUUAACCUGACUUGUAAUAUAUUAUCUCUCAUUGAUAAUAUCCCAAUUGUGGUUUCCCAC